ACACAGAGAAACCCUGUCUUGAAAAACAAACAAACAAAGAUGUUAUUUUUAAGUGAGAUCUUUUUGGUUUGGGAGUCUAAACCGACUUUUCUGACUUCUAAAUUUUCUGCCGUUUAAGUCUUUUGCUUACCUUGACAGUCAGUUGUCACCUUUUUAUACUAUGUGAAUUCUCUUGCUUUCCUUCCUUAUUUGACGUUUCUAGUUACCUGAAGAGAAAUGCUGUAACUGAAUUAAUUUAGGAAUGUAUCUUAGGGGUUGAGUGGAGUGGUAUAUAGCUCAGAACCUAGAUAGGUGGGACCGAAGAAUGAAUUCAAAGCCAGCCUGGGCUACAUAGUCAUUUUCCUUGCCUCCUAAGUAUAUAAUAGAUGUGUAGUUUUUGUGACCUUCACACUUGCAUUUCUUUUACUGCACUUUAGAUGAUUUUGAGACCCAAAAUUCUUACAUUUAAAGCUUUUCUUUUUUUUUCAAAAGAAACUAUAGAUUUUCCAAAAACUGACUUAUUAGGGUACACUAUGCCGUUCAGAUUAAAAAACAAUUUUUUAACUGUUAAAACUGUCAAAGAAUGGAAUAUCUUUUUUUCCCUUAAAAUCUUUAAAAGGUUAGUUAUAAGAAAUAACCCCAUUUUGUUUCUAGUAAAAAAAUGUAAUCACUCCUAGAAUAAAACUAUUUAAACCAUGUUUUGAUGGUCUUUCUCUUUCUAUGAUCAGACAAGUGAAUAGUUUUGCUAUUUAAGUUCUUAGGCACUGGUGCUCCUGCCCCAUUCUGUGUCUGUCUUGUUCACUUCAGAUUUUGAAAUGAAGGUUUUGGUAUAUUUUCUGAUUUAACUCCUAAAGUACACUCUACUUGUUUACAGUCUGUCCUUUCUCAAUUUUAGCCAUGAUACCGUAUCUAGAAAAGAAGUGUAAGAGUAAGAAUAGAUGUAGCAAUGUGGAAAGAGACUGAACAGUAGGGAAAGUGAGUGCAUGUGCACUCGUUGUAUUUGUUGGUGAGUGUGGGCUGGCAACAUCCUUACCUGAACUACUUUCUGGAAGUCUACAUCCAUGCUAGCAGCAAGUCCAUCAUUUUAAAGCCUUUGAAAUAUGUUUAGAGUCUGGACUGUUCUUGUCCCUCCAAACACUAGCAUCUUAAUUGAGCAAAUCAUCCUAUAGUCUGGACUUUGCAACAGUCAUCUAGGUUAUUCUUCUUUUCCCCCAGAAGUUAGCUAGAUUUUUUAAAAAUGUAGAUCAGGAAAUGGGUCUGAUAUACAAUAUAAUUCAGUAUUUCUAGAGACUGAAGGAGGACCAUCAGUUCUGAAAUCAUGAGUUUGUUUGAGUCAUGUAACAAGGUCUUACUAUUUAGCCUUGUUUGAUCUGCUUAGUUCUCCCUAUGAAGUUCAGGUUGGUCUCAAAUUGGUGACACCUUCAGCCUCCUGAGUGCUGAGAUCAUAGGCUUACAACACCAGAGCCAGCUUUCAGUAGUAUCUUUUGACUAAAUGUUUAAGCAAAUACAGUGAGGGUAAGAAGUAGUUAAACUGGUAAGAGAAAAUCCUGAUCAUGCGCCAACAUUAGUAUGGUGAAGACAUGUGAAAAGUGGCUAAGUCGAUUCUUCAGGAGAGGAAGUACUGGAGUAGUGGACAUCUUGGUGCUGAUGAUUACCUGCUGGCCUAACAGUGUAGGCAGGUAAUAAUACACAAGUCAAAGGCUUUUCUGAAUUCUCUAUUCCUCCCUGGCCACUCCCACCUCCAUUCUUGUGCGCCAUGGACAAAGUUUCUUCUCUCAUUUGCCUAUUUGAUUCUACUAUAAGAUUAGCUCUUGAUGGUGAGUGUCAGGAAGUAAGGAGGGGACAUAAGCUUUCCUGCUUUCUGAGUUGUUGCUGUGGCCAUUUUCCAGUUUUCCUCACAGCUUGAUUUGCUCCCUAUGGUGACUGGCUCUCAUCUCCCUGGCCUUAUUUUUUGGGGGGGGGUCAGGAAGGGCAUUACAUAUGUGUACUUUAUCUCUGAAUACUGAAAGAGCACUUGUCAAACUGGCAGUUGUUAUGACUAUUGGUUGCUACUUGACAUAGAGACUGACACCUAACAGUCUGUGUUGCACUGAUGGGCCUUUAGGAGAUUCAUGCGAGAAGCUGUGCUUUAACAGGGAAAAUACUGUAUUGAUGAACAACUCAUAUUAAUAGUACUAAAAAGUGUUCUUUCUGUAUAUUCUGGGAUAAAGUGUAUUAAGGGUAGUAUAGCUAGCCACUGUGGAAGAGUGUGUGUGUGUACGCAUACAUUCUGUAUAUAUGAUUUUGUCUUACAGAUCUUCAUACAAUAAAUAAAAACAUGACAAACACUGAAAAAUUUGAAGACUAGUGGCUAAUAACCAGCAAGGUUUAUUUCAUCCAUUUCUUUUUUACAUCUCAUCGAUUCUUCUGUUUUGACAGUUGCAGUGUUUAGUAAUAUAACAUCAUAACCAAUACAUGAGGCAUUUCAUAAUACCCUGUCCCCAAAACAGACUUACCUUCUAAAGUAGUGCGCCUAACCUCCCUCUAAUACUCCCUUUCUUGGGUGCUCCAGCUUCCAUGUGGUUCCUCACAGCCUCUCCAGGCAUGGUUUGGAAAGGAGAGGGUCAAAUAGUCUCAGGUUCUUUCUUUUUUCAGGAUCUAAUCUCUUGUGCAUGUAUGUUGCCUUUAGUAGGGUUCUGUAACUGGAAGAAUGUUUGAAAGUCACUCCAUUUGCGUUGCUGAAUGAUAAGUCCAUGUAUCUCUCUCUGUCGUCCAUCUCUCAUGUGCCUGUCUACUCACACUUCCGAGACUCUCCUACUCCCGCCUGCUGUGGCUUUCCUCAGUAGUUCCUGCUCUUCAAUCCUCAUUAACAUACUAGACUUUCUUAUUACUCUAAGUAGUUGACAGUUUAGGGCCAACAUUGUUUGUAUGAAUGUAUUCUAAAGUGUUGAUAGUCAGUAGGAUAAUGUGUUAAUAUAUGUGUAAAUGUUUAUGAUACUGUAUUUUAUUUUAACCAGGAGUUAUUUAAAAAUAAAGCAAGCUGUAUAUUAUACCUGACAUGGGUUAUGUUUUAACUGUAGUACAUUUUAAAGGAAUACAUGUUAUUUUCCUUUUAUUUUAGUGGUAAAAUACUUAGUACUCUAAAAUUAUUUAGUCUGAGAUUAGAGAUUUUUUUAUUUAUAUAGUAGAUAAAAGCCAUUUUAUAUAAUGACAGUUCUUUUUAUUUCUGUUUAUUUUUAAUUUUUAUUACUCUGAAUAUGUUCAUGUUAUGUGUAUGUGUGAGACAGAGGGCACAGGAGACUGUCCAGAGUCAGCCUUGUCUUUCAAACAUGUGGGUCCCAGUUGACAAUAGGCAUAGUGGCAUUUUUAUCCACUGACUAGCUAGCUAGCCCUGGAAAUGUUUUAGGUUUCAUGCUUUAGAAGUAGGAUGCCAGUGACCGAUACAGUUUUGUCUGACAUUUUCCACUGUGGAAAAUGAACUCGUGUAAAUGAUGCUCAGCAGUCUGCAAAGGUAAACACUAAUGUGUCAAGCAUUCAAAUAAUUUCCUAGGCAGUCUGUGGCUGAACCAGAAGUGACUGGCCCCUCCAGGCCAUAGGCUUUUUGUUUAUUUUGAUUUCAAUGUUUGGACGGUUUUGGUUGUUAAAGCUGAAGUGGCAUAGUCACUACUGGUUUCUACUGAGUAGCCACUAAUAUCAUACCUCAAACAAGAUACUCAAACUAUAAAUACUGUUGUAUUCACAAAUCUCUGUAGUCUCAAGAUUGUGAAAGGUGAACUUUAUAAGGAUAAGGGUCGGGCUAAUGUUUCUGUGUAGUCAUACAAAUUUAGUUACCCUAGUCAUUCCCUUUAAAAGCAUUUUGAACAAACAUUUUCUUGAAAAAGCCUAGGGUAGAGGUUCACACUUUAUUCUCAGCAUUCUGGAGGUAGAAGCAGACUGAUUUCUAAAAGAGUCCGAGUCCAGCCUGAUCUACACAGUGAGUUCUGGUUGGCAGGCUUGGUAAUAUUUGUGUAUCUUCCUUCUUGUAUCUGUUAACUAUCAGUCUCAAUGAGAUGAAAUAAAAAUUAAUUUUAGUGAAUAUUUCUGCCAACAGUGGAAUUUGAAAGCUUUUGUAUAAACUUAAGGCAGCUCAUUUCAGACUUCAAAGUUAACAUUGAACAGAAUAGACCUGUUUCCUUAUUGGCAGAAUUGCUUUCUACUAAAGGUUAACUAAACUUUUUUUUUAAGUUAAUUGUUUUGCCUACAGCCCUAGUACUGGAAAGGCCUAGACAGGAGAUCCACAAAAUCAAGACCAUUUUAAGCUACUCAAUAGAUUUUAAGGUCAGCUUGGGCCACAUGGUAAGGCCCUAUCUUAGAGAAAUGAAAAAGUUCUAGUAUUUCCCCUUCUACCACCUGUUUUAUUACCCAAACACAUUGUUGACAGUCUAUGCUUAAGUUAACACUAAAGUAUACUACUGUUAAGAUCUAUAUUUUCAGUACCCUUUCCCAUACAUGUAUAAUGAGCAUUCAUGAAAAAUACAUAUUUCAUGUUAUGAAAUACAUACAGGAAUUUGUUGGUUAUUUUUACCUACCUCUCUGAAGCAUAUUUUCUCACUUUUACACUGAAAUAUUUCUUGGUUAAUAUGGUGCUUCAUUUUUUUAUCCCAUGUGCAUGAAGGGUUUGGGUGAGGUAGAGUGAGGAUUGAAAUCAGGGCCUCUUUUGUGUUAGGCAAAAGCUAUAAAACUUGAGCUGUAUCUCCAUCCCUUGACUUUUCUUUUUAAUGGAUGUGCCAGCAUUUAUUAAGCUACUCUUUAAGAUACUUAGUUGGUUUCAACAUUUUAAUACUAUUUUGAACAAUAUUAUAUCUAAAUUUCGUUUUCUUACAAUGAAAUUGUUUAGUUGUAUUUAGUGCUAAGAAGGAGGAGUAAUGGGGACGAGGUGUGUUUGCACUUGAUCUUUUUCUAGAAUUUGCAUCUGACAAAUAUUUCAUUUCAAACUGUGUGAUAACUUUAUAUCACAAAAGACUCUGCCUCCACACAAUUUUGAAGUUAAACAUUGCUACUCCUCAGCUUGGGUUGGUGGGCCCCCUGGCUUACAGGAGUCAAACAACUAUUUCAGGCAAGAAAAAUUAUACAAAAAACCCUGCAGGUCUCUUGAAUAUAGAAAGAAAUGCUUACAAAUUAUAUAUGUAAAUAGAUUGUUUUAAGAAAUAUUUUUAAUUUCAAAAACAGGUAAAAGGUAAAACAGACAAAAAAUGAAUUGCUUUUUUUGAUAAAAAAGAUCUUAAAGCUAUCUGAAGAAAAGUUUCUCAGUUUUGAAAUGUGUUUAUUUAUCUGAUAACUGUGCAUCUUUAGAUACCAAGUAAAUGUUAGAUUCAUUAAUCUGAAAGCAGGUUGUAAAAUACACCAGAUUCUAGUUCUAGAUGUGCUGCUGUUGACUAGUUGUACAAAUAUGCCAGGGUUUGACCUCCUGGGGUCCCUUUUUCUUAUUGUAUACUUGAAUUAUUUUUAAAAUUUUCAGUUCUCCAGUGUUCUGGUCUAUUAACUUGCACAUUCUUUUAAAGGCAUGUGUGAUAUAAUCAUACAUUCAUUUAAUAAGGCUGUCUUCAAAUUUACAUUUCCCCAAGUUAUUGCAGAAUAAAUAGAUCAACAAUAUUGAAAAGCCAGGAGGGAACUGGAGGUGAAAAGCAUUUUUACUUAAAAGUUUUUUGGUCCUUAACCAGCAUUUGAUAUGAUACUUGCUCUGUGUGUGUGUAUGUGUGUGUGUGUGUAUUAGAAUUCAUCAACCAUCAACCAAGAAGAUUACUUUCUAUUAUAGAUAUUUUAUAAAAUAUCAUUUAUUUAUUCUGUUUUCUUCCCCAAAAGACAUUUGGAACUCAAAUUUACAUAUCUAAGUGGCAAAGCGCUAAACUUCAAUUAACCAGUAGUUUAACAUAAAAUCAUACUGUAACAGUCAUUAACAUAUUUGAGUAUGCUAUAUAAGUUCAGAGUAUGAAUUAUGUAUUAGUGAGCAGUGCUGCAUUGAGUUAAUUUUUAUGUUGUUGGAUUGUGCUUACGAUAAGAAAAUAGUUUUUAGAGAUGAUAUUGUUUCCAGAUGUUUCAAAAAAAUGUUUCUAUGGUACUUUGAAUGACCUAUGCAAUUUGAAAGUCUUAUACUUUUGAAACGUUGUCAUGAGACAUUAGCCUUUCCAAUAGAUUUAUUUCACGGUAUUAUAUUUUUAAAAUCUAUUCACUAUAUCAUUAUCUUAAUUAAGAAUAUGACUUUUUAAAAUCUGCUUUUAAGAAAUAAUGUGCUAUUUCCCUGAUCAAUAAUAUAGAACUAGAACUAGGUUUAAAAGAAUGAAUGCUUCUGGACUGUUGUACCACCAAGAGACUUAAUUUUAAUCUCUUGUGCUAUUUCAGAAUUUUUAUUAUUAUGUUUGGUAAUUCUGCAUUGUUGGAAGUAGUAGUUAGUGACAAAUUUAAGACAUACAAGAUACUCUUUUCCAACAUUGACAGUAAUGAAGUUUAAUUUCUAAGCAUUCAGGGUUUUUUUUUUUGCAUCUUUAUGGGGGCUGAAUUAUUAGCCUUUGUGAAGCUAUUUUCACAAAGUAGUUGAAGAAAGGGAAAUUUCUUUUGUAAUCUCAGAAAUUAGGGUCAAGAGAAUAAGAACUUUAUUUUGUAGGUUAUAUUAAAUUUUAAUAACAUUGAUAUUCUGCUUGCUUUACAAAACCUUUAUUACAAACAGUUAUGAAUAUGAACAUCUCAUUUGACUACUGAUGAACAGAGGGGAAAAUCUAAAUUAAAACUUUAAAUACCACUAUUUAAUUACCCAAAUGGCUUUGACUGUGUUAAAGAGUGCCUGGGAUUAUUCUGUUUUUCAAUUUGUUUUAAUGCUUCCUUGGUAAAAGCUGAUGGAUUCCCAGGCCCAUUGCUGUCACUGAUGAACUAUAUAAAGAUAAAUGACAUUAUGGUAAAUUCCACUUAAUGACACAUUUUUAAUUUUCAGAACACAGACAUUUUCAGGCUAGUGAAUGAAGGCUAAUUACCUCAAGAUCAGAACAAAAUAACUCCUCAUUUCGAAAGAUAAUAGAAAAGAAAUGUUGCAGAUUAAUGAUGCUAUUUAUCUUUAAAGGAAAAAAAUUUUAUCUUUAUCCAGAUAGCUUAGCUCCCGGAGGAGCAUGGUUAUAAAAUGAAUCUGAAGUCGCAACUUAAUAGGUUAUUAAAAUUGUGAGUGCAGGCUCUCCUGCUUAGUCUUUCCAUAAAUUUAAAUUGAAGGUCUGCUGUAUUCAGGAAGCAGCAGCUUGUUUAUGAGGCCAGGGGGAGCAACAUUGGUUACUGACAAAAGAAGCACUUAACCUCAUUCUAACACCUUCUUUAUUUCUCUUCAGCCCAACUAUUUGAAAAGGUAUUGUGAAAUUAUGUUACCACUUUUAAUUGAUACCUACAUGGAAGAACCACAGUUGAACUUACUCAAUUAAGAUUAAAAUAAAAAUAAAUUCUAAAUGCUUGAUACUUUUACUGAUUACAUAUAAUUUUAUAAUCUGAUUUUAUUGUAUGCUGACAUGUGUACAACUUCAAAUAUUUUCAUUUUGUUACAUAAGAAAGUGCCAUUUUGUGGUCAUAGUUGAAAUUGACUUUAAAACUGUUCAAUAAACUAUUAUUCACAGUUAGAUUAGCAAUAAUCCUUUUUCUGUACCCACAGAAUAAACAAUGUAGUGAUACAGGUUUUAUUACUUCUAACUAUGUUUAUGUCUACACUGUCAUCUUUUGCUCUGCUACUACAAUACUUUUAACUAUGGGGUCAUAUAGAAUAUUGUAUACUUCUGUUCUUUUAGAUAGUAUGGUUCACUUAUAUAUUUAUUAUAUUUCUGGGCCACUUAAAAGUGCUUAUUAUGGCCACUCUACUUUAGAAAUAAGCAUGUUCCUUACAUUGUAUAGAAAUUGAAGUAUAUUUUAUUAUUUUUCUUUGUAAUUUUAUUUGCCCCAAAUAGUUAGAAAAUAUGUGUUUUAUCUCUUAGGGACAGUAGCCUCAAUCUGUUAAUAUGCUUCAUAGACCAUCUUAUUAUAGUUUCUUAUUAAUAAUAAGAUACCUUGUAAUUUGAUAGUAUUUUAGCUGCUAUGAAAGCCUCUUCAUUUUUAACACAUUCCUAAGUAAUUUCAAUUCUAUACUCUAAAGGUAAUUUUAAUUUCUGAUAAGACAACCUAAAAUUAUUUACUCUGAAGUCACAUAAUUUAUUUAAUGUAAAUUCUAUAAAAUGCAUUUAUGUGUUUAGAUAGAUGUAUCUUAAAACAACCACCACCAAUUCCCUAACACCACCACCACCAUCCAAUGCUAAGAGUCAAACCCAGAGCUUUGCAAAUGCUGAGUGGUAAAUCUGGGCCUGUCUCUCUCUCUCUUUUUGUAAUGUUGGUAUUAAUUUAUUGCCAUUUAUUUGAAGUAUCCAGCACUAUCCCCUGUCAGAUUUUUCUUUUUUCUUCCCUUCCUUCCUUCCUUCCUUCCUUCUCUUCCUCCCUCCCUCUUUCCUUCCCUCUUUCCCUUCCUCCCUACUUCCUUCCCUCCUUUCAUUUUCCUUUUUUUUUCUUUAAAAAAAAAUCCUUAUUUGCUAUAGGUUUACCAAUCUUAACAGUGUCUUGGAAAAGAAACUGAUAAGAAUUCUGAGUUUUAUGUUUUAUAGUCAGUAUAUUUUUACUAUGGAAGCAACUGAAUCGUCUUAAUAUUGGGCACAUUUGCUUCUCUAAUGAUCUUCUUUCUAGUCCUCAAUAAGAAUAAUCACAAAAGUGAAAAGAAAGGGUGUGUUGUGUGCAAGAGAAAGCACUAAAAUGCAUUGUUCUAUAAAUCCAUUUCCAAAUAUGGUAGGCAGUAUAUGGUGUAAAUCACAGACUUCACUCUACAUUUGGGAACAUGACAUGCUGCUGUUUCUCAGCGGCUCUAGUCUGUGUUAUUAUACUUGAUGCCCUAUUACCUGUUCCAUAAGUAAGAACUGAAAAUUGUGCAGAAUGGAAAAGAAAUUAGGAUGGUGUGUAAUGAUAGUUGGCAUAAUCUACUUUGAAAUCAGUCAUAUGGAAUUUAUGCUAAAAAAUGCAGUGAGAUGGAGAGAUAGCCAGUAGUGAAGACCACUUGUAUCCUCCAGAGGACCCAAGGCAGCUCCUAGCACCUUCAUCAGAUAGCUCGCCAGCUGCCUGAUAGUUCCAGGGAUCCAGCACCCUCUCUGGCUUCUGAGGCCACACACACGCACGAGUACACGUACAGACACAUACCAUCUUUUAAAAAAAAAGUUUAAUAAAUGUGUGUACCAGCAUUUUGUAGGAUCGAUCAUAUAAAAAUAAUUGUUUCUGCUUAUUAGCAAUGGAUAGUAAACUAAUUCUUUUAAAUGCCAUUUGUUAAAAAAUGAAAUAUGUCCAGAGUAGUCAUCACUAAAGGUAGGUUUACACUGAAAACUAAAGCACAGAAUAAUUAGAGAACGUAAAAUGAAAAGCCAUGUGUAGUAUAUUUAUUGUUUACCUGUACCAAUGAAAAGGAAGGUAGGUAUCCUUUGUUUGUUUUGACUUGAAUGGCAUUAUCUGAGCUGGUGAUACUAUAUUUGGAAAUACAAAAGAAUGUAGAGCACAGUAAAGAUCAUGAAAUGCUCUAGACAUAGAUAUGGGACUGAUUUUCAACCAGGAAGUGAUAGGCUUUCUAACACAUUUUUACUAAACCAAUUAGAUAGCUAAAAUGCUGAAAAUAAACUGGUGUCUUCCAUCACAUGACAUGAGCAGCUGACUUGUAACAUUUCAUAGGGUUAUAUUUGAGAAUGAAUGAAAGAUCCUAACACAAAAUGGAUAACUUUGGAUGAAUCAAAUAUUAGAAAAACAAGACCUAAGAAACACAAACUAGAAGCAGAAAAUGUUAAAUGUUUAUUUUUCAGAGAUACUUAAAAAACUGAAAGUGCAAGCCACAGUCCUGGAAAAAGUAUUUAUAAAGGACCUGUGUUUGAGGACACAGUGAACUUCACAGCUUAAGAGGAAGAUGAUAAUCAAGGGAAACAGGGUAAAGGACUUAUAGAUACUUACCACAGAAGAUACUCAGAUGUCAUACAUGUUCAUGAAAAGAAUAAGUCAUUAGCCACUAGGAAAUUAAACUUGAAGUCACUUGCCUGAUAUGUGCAAGGCUCCUGGCUCAAUACCAAAACACCAAACAACCAUUUAGGAUGGAUUGUGGAAUAAUAUCUGUAUUUACUCUCCCAUGUCUAUUUGCCAGUUUCUUUUUUGCUUUUUAUAUUUUUCUGAUAUUCAGAUUGUUGAGCUUUAUAUAUAUUUCUUUUUUAUUAUAUUAUCUUACUGAAAAGCAUAUAUUUUAAUUCAGCAUGAAGUUGAUUAAUGAAAAAGUUUAAAAUAUUUUAAUUGUAUUAUUUAUUUGUGAAUUUGAAUGACUAUAUCUAUGUGAGGCUGCACACAUGCUAUGGCACAUGUGUGGAAGCCAGAGGACAGUUUGCAGGAGUUGGUUCUUCUCUUUCUACAACAUUGAUUCUUGGGGUCAUACCCAUGUCACUAAGCUUGGUAGGAAGCACUUUAUUCACUGAACCCUUUUUCCAUCCCCCAAAUGAAAGUUUUUACAGCUUAUAAAAUAUAUGAUUUUUAUGAUUGAGAAGUUGACUGUUCUUAUUUCUGUAUCCUAAUUCUAGAACUUCUUGAUGUGAUAGGGAAACAUUCACUGUUUAAAGCUGAAGAGAUACUGAGUUCAAAUGUAUAUAUGGUAGUACCUGGGUGGGUAUCUCACCUACCCCACAAGACAUUAGGCCAGAAUCCUGGAGAAGCUUUAAGGAUUGGUGUUGUGUCUAACCUCAGCAAAUGAUUGUUGAGCCAUAGUUAAUAGGUGAAAGAUGGUGUCCAUGUUUGGUACUUUGUCAUAUGAGUUCACAGGUUAUUUACAUAUCUUCACUUUUUAUUCCCUUCCUUUAGUCCUAUUACAUAAUUCUGGAGGGGUUUUUUUUGUUUUUGUUUUUCUGGUAGUCACUUUUCUGGGAACAGUUUUAUAAUAUUUGUGAUUAUUUUGAACACUGUGUUUCUCUUAAUACUGCUGUCAUUAAUGUUUAUACUUUUUUUUACUUUGUAAAUUGCACAUGUGCACAUGUGACUUGGUCAACUUUGUGGAACAUGUUCUCUUCUUCCAUUUUUGUCUGAGUUCCUGGGAUCAGACUCAGGUCUCCAGGCUUACAGAGCAAAUGCCUUACCUGCUGAGCCAUCUCUCCAGCAUAGUGCCCGCAUUUCUUCAGCUGAGUUAGUUAAAGGAGAGGAAUAUGUUUUGAAUGAAAAAAAAUCUGUUAAUCACAUCUGUAUGAAACACCUGUAUAUAAAUCAAUAAUGCAGAGACUCAAAGACUCUGAAAGAGUAGGUAUCUUGCUAAAACUCAAGAAGCUAUACAUCCUUCAUUUGUUGAUUCUAUAGUCUGUACGCUUCAGUUUUGGAUACCCAUCAGAAUCAUCUGAAUAAUUUAAAGCCUUGCUUCCUGCCUUAACCUUGUCUAGAGAGAUUGUUGAUGUGAGAAUCCCAUGGAAUUUUAAAUUCUGUCAAUAACUGAAGUCAUAUAUCCUGGCCCAUCCUCACCUCCCCGCUUCCUCAAGUGGUGCUAAAUCCAGAACUUUGUGCAAGCUAGACUAUGAGUUCUAUAUCUAUAUCCCCACCUCUGAUUGAAAUUUUCUUAAACUCAAAAGACUUUUCCUCUUUUCUCCCCUUCCCUGACCUCGUCUUUCUUUCAGGAUCAUCCCAAAUUGGCCUCAGACUUGCCUUCCUCUAGGCUUCGUUUCCAAGUGCUAAGAUGACAAGCCCAAGAGACUUUUUAAGUGGAUAGUUAAACUCUUUCAUUUAAUCUCUUACCACUUCUCAUGUAAUACAAGUAUAAAUUCAUCUUUUUGUUGCUUUGAUAUAUAAGAAGAGAAGUUGAUGGCUCAACUUUAAUAAUUAUUUAAGGGCUGGAGAGAUGGCUCAGCAGUUAAGAGCACUGACUGCUCUUCCAGAGGUCCUGAGUUCAAUUCCCAGCAACCACAGGGUGGCUCCCAACCAUCUGUAAUGGGAUCUAACACCCUCUUCUGGUGUGUCUGAAUACAGUGACAGUGUACUCACAUACAUGAAAUAAUCAUUUAAAGUAUGAGAAACUUGUGGCUUGUGCUUUCUAUUUAAAGUUAUUCAUUUUCAUUUCUCACAGAACAAUAUUAUGACUUUGGUGAUACUGGUUUAGUGGUUUAAAGUAACAUUUAACUUCCCAUCCCAUUUCCAAUUGAACUUGGGUUGCUAUAGAUGGAUUUUUCUGAGGACACUGAUAGCUUCAAAGUAAAAGCUUCAAAGUAAAAGCCGCCUCUGCCACUAAAGUGCAUCUGAAUGUAAAUUAUUUUAAGGUCAAAUUUAAAGUUUUUAUGAAAUUCCCACUGUAUAUACAGGAUUUCUCUGGGUAUGGUGGGGCAGAGUCAUUUUUGACUUCUGUUUUGUUUUGUUUGUGUUUCUAUUUGGCUUAUCCUAUUUUACCCUAACUUCUAAAGGUGGGAAUUAAAAAUUCUAAAUGCUCCCCUUUUCCUUGGCAAAUUUUAAACAGUAAUCUAGAUUAUAUUACUGCCACUCAUGAUUUCUUUUCUUUCUUUCUUUCUUUCUUUCUUUCUUUCUUUCUUUCUUUUUUUUUUUUUUUUUUUUUUUUUUUUUUUUUAGCUUUUAGCUUUUGAGGUGUAAGAGGCUUAUAAAAGUUGUUCUCGUGGCUGAACUUCUUCAUGAAGGAACUUAGUUCCUUUCUGUAACUGUUUUCUCACCAAGUAUAGAAUCACUACUAUAUGUGAACUUGGCAAUUAUGCUCUCCUGUAGAAUGGGUCUCCAGAUCCUACUACACAUCCUUUGUUUAGUGGCAAAGUUAGGUUAACAAGAAAGGUAACAGACAUCCCUGCCACUCAGGCCUUAACUCUAUCAUCUUUAGUACUGCAGUGGAGACAGGAAUUGUUGGGAAUGGCAGAGGGUGGCACUACAUGAAGGGAUGGCAGAGACAGACAAGAUGAAGAGAAAGUGCAAGGGUUUUAGAGGAAGAACAAGGGUGAUGAUUCAUUUGUUUAUAUAUAAUUAGGAAAUUCAGGUAUUGGUGUGACUUCAACAUGGCUGUGACUUCAACAUGGCUGGAUCAUUCUAGAACCUCAAUUAUACCACAUUUCUUAGUUCUACUUUGCUCUGUGCUGGCUAUAGAUAAAGUGAACAUUGGCAACUUCAGAGGUUAUGUGAGCCUUAGUACCUGUCUCAGAGGCUUUGUCAAGGCACCCAGUCCUGAGAAUGCAACUAGGACCAGUAUGUUAGAAAAGUAUUCAGCUGAACAGUUCUUUAUUCAGCUCAGCUCGUGUUAUACCCAACUACCCAGUGGAUACAGAGAAUGUAUGCAUUGAAGUUGGAUAUGUGGCUACCUCACUAAGAGGCUCAGUAGAUGGGGGUUGGAACUUAGUGUCCAAACCCUAUGGGGUAGUUGUACAGUAAGAUACUAUUGUGUUACCAGAAGAAACAGAGAAUACUGAGAAGGAAAAUAAUUAGACAUUAAGCCAAACUUAGUACACGUGGCUUUUGUGUGAAAUUACAUAUUGUAGCCUUAUUGCAGGCUACAUUUAAAACUGAAGUAUGCUUGAGUAGUCUCUAUAGCCUGCGGAUGGCGGAGGUACUGGGGAAAUGAGUCAAUCAGCAGUGCUGGCCUUGCAUGUAUGAAGACCUGAGACCAGGUGUGAAAACACCAGGUGGGGUGGCAUGUGUUUAAAAUCCCAGCUCUGUUGUUUACAGUCUUAAUGCUAGAGGGAGAAACAGACCUAGGCAUUGACCAGCCAGCCUAGUCAACUUGGCAAACUCUGGGCCAUUGAGAGACCCUAUCUCUAAAAUCAAGGUGGAACCAUUCCCAAUUUGACUUCUGCUCCAUACACACAUGGCAGCACAUGUGGAAAUACUUCUCAUCUAAGAUUCUCAGUGUAACUGUAUGAAAGUUAGGCCAUUUUGACCAUUCUUUCAACAGUGUAUUGGAUGCCUAUUAUGUUAUUUUGUGUAUAAUAUUUUGAGAAAUAAUUUUAAAACUUUUAUGUGGAGAUCUAGAUUUCAAGAUUAUUUAAAAGUGCUUUUUCUCCUCACAUUUUGUCUCAGUUUCUCAAAUAACCAGUCUAGAGGAUUUAUGCAAGCUAAGAAAUACCAAGUUAUAUUUUAAAACAUUUACCAAGCCUUGCCGGGUAUCUCCCUCCUUUUUAUUUAUCUAAAGUGCUCUGGGAUUUUAAAUGUCUACACAAAGCAUAAGAGUAAGCCUCAUCUGGAAGACCCAUGCCCAGCACAUUGCAGGCUACUCAAUUUAUCUACCUUGGAAGGAUGAAAGGCUAAGUUGAAAAAUCAUUUAUCAGUUCCACUCCAGUUGUUACAUUUUUGCUUCAGAAACAUCCUUCAUCUCCUGAGUCUCAUAAUCUCUUGCCUUUGAGGUUGUUUCAUAGACAUGCUUUCACUCAAAUGCUUUCAAUUUGAACUUCUUCAAGAGGGUUGCCUAUCUCCCAGAAUUCGCCUCUAGGGACUAUUUUAUAGCUGUUAUUUCAGCUCCUCCCAUCCUGGCUGUUGAAGAAAGUCCUCUAACCAAAGGCAUUUCUAAUAGGAACCAUGCUAGUCAAGCAGUACAGCUGCUUUUUCAGGACUGAGCCCCCAACCUGGAGUUCCGAGAGGAGAAAAAAGGACAGAACAAGAAAACCCAAAGAGAUGGUCCAACAUACCCUUUGCUCUUCAAAAGGAGUAUAACCCCUGCUUUCUCCUGUGAUUGACAGAAUCUCACUAAAAUAAUGUAGUUUAGAUUUUUACAUGAAAAUAGUUCUCUGAGAAAUGUGCAAUUUUGCCUUAUCCAAACCACCCAGUGCACAAGACCUAACUGGAAUCAUGGUUUCCAGUUUACAUUUUCAUGAGUUUGUAGUGGAACCUGUCACAUAUUGGGGAUUCAGCCUUCAUCCUUCCCCUCGUCCUCUAGCUUCCUGCCCUGUUCUUCAGAAUUGCCUUUUCUUUUCUUUAUAUGCUUCACCUCUUCAACCCUGUUACAGACUCUCACACUCAGGAGUUCUGUAUGUAUUUAUUUUGUAUUUUUACAGAGGGUCAAGUAACUAUUAUUUUUGGAGAUUAAGGUACUUAGUUUAAAUAAUAUAUAAUUUCUUAUAUCAUCUAGCUAUCAUGGCAGACACAAUGAAACACAGCUCCUGCCGGCAAAGAGCUUUAACCCUUUAGAAGCUAUGUUACAUGUAUGUCUAAUAUAAAUGGAUCAUUCAGGAGUGGGCAUUUUCACUUCAGGAAAGCAGGGUAGCUUUCAUGGCCUCAGUGACCAUGGAUUAUUACUGGUAUAUUUUAGAUUAAUGGUCAGUUAAGCAGGUCAGCCAUUAUAAGAAAUAUUGAAAAGGAAGUCAGUAAUGACUAGUGUCCCUCACAUGUAUAAUUCUUGGUGGGAAAAACUUGUCUAAGAGAAGUUUUGUUUUGUUUUAUCUCAUUUGCUUCUAACUCUAGGAAUAAAUAGGGAUUAUAUUUACUGUGGCUAUGUGAAAGUUUCCUGUGCAGCUUUCAAAGUCCGGUUUUCUGAUUUCCUUGAUGAUCAGAAAACAGAAUUAUCAAUCUUGACUUUUCUGCUCUGGUCUUUUGUAUUGAGAUUAACACUCCAGAAGAAAGGAGAGAUUUCUUGUUUCUGGCAGCUGCCCUGACAGGUCAGCACUGAUCCUACCCUGCUUGACCAGCCUUGUUAAUGACUUCUUAUAAUACUAUUACAGCACUCCUUCUCUCCCCUCCCACCAAAAAAUGAAAUAGGACAUUCUGUGAGUUUGGACUAUUUCUGGAUUUCUUAUCAUUUAUAUCUGUUAAAUGUUUCUAUAAAUUGAUAUUGGCUUUUGGGAUAGGAUACCUGCUAAAGUAUAUGAAGCUAUUAUACUGUUUUACUAAGUAAUUUUUUUAACAGAAUUGUAUUUUAAUUUUUUGAUUCUUUGUUUCCAUUAUGUUCAGAUAGUUAUUGAAGCGAGAGAAGAAAUCUUACUGAACUAAUAGAUUUUUAUGUUACUAGAAAACUGCCUCAGAGUCAUGUUUUCCACUCACCUGAUGUCCACCUCCCUUCAAACCAGCCUUUCCUGAAAGUAAAUUUUGGAUUUUGAUCUUGUUAAAAUUAAAUUUUAUCCUCUUUGCAUUACUUUGGACCCGUGUCUUGCCUGGAUGAUUACUCUAUUUCUUUCUGUAUUUCAAAUUGCCAAAAUCAGUUUAUCCACUGUAGGAUUGGCAUGCAAAUGAAUGUAAUGGUAGCAAUUAAUAUUAUGACUGCAACUAAAACUAAUAAGUAAAUAGAAAUUUCAUUAGUAUGUAGCAUUUCUUUGCCCACAGUUAUAUCAGUAAUAAGAAAUAGUAGCAGAGGAAAUAAAACCAGAAAAGCUACAUUUUAUAAAUAAUUAUGAAAUUAUUCUCAUUUUCUUCCAUGGAUUUCAAAAGGAAAUGUAUUUAUGCUUAUUUUCUAUGUUGAUUGUUUCUGCCAUAUGGCUCCAGGUUCUUAUUAUUUGUAGUUAACUUCAUUUUAAACUUUGAAAAACACAGUGAGUAAGAAGAGUCAGUGUUCUACAUAGAUUAAAAGAAGUGUGUUAUUGAGAUAGAGCCCAAAUGAAAACAUGCUGUCACUCAAAGGUCCAUUUAGGUGUACUGCUUCCUACUUAAGAGGUUGGUGUCUUCUUGUAUUUAUAGAACUUGAAUUUGAAAAUAAGUAAUAGAUAGUGUUUCAUUUCAUAUUGAAGAGUAUUACUGAUUCAUCCACCAAAAUAAAAACAGCCCUGUUAACUAUUUCUCAUAAUUAUCAGUAAUUUAUAUAGACCAGUCUUUUUGUUGAAAUUAGAUUCUUAUUGUAACGCCUUAUUUCUUUCUCCUGCAAUGUUGCUUUGCUGGCUUGCUCAUCUACCUUGUAGACCUUGGUGACCCCCAUGUUCUUGUUUUUGACUUUUUAGUAGGCUGAACCAAAAGAAAGUCCUUGCUUGCUGGCAGGAGAGCUGAACAAAGGCAGAAGGAAGGGCUUUAAGCUUGGGACUCUGGCACAGAAAACAGCAAUCUGUAUGCCAGCUCGGUGUAGGUAGCCAGCUCUGCAAGGUUAUGCCACUGCUCUACCAGUCCUUAUUACUGUCCUGUAGCCGCUGCACUGUUGAAAACUUAUUUCAUGACAGAACGGGCUGAAAAAAAAAUGAGCUUGUUAAAACCUUUAAAGUUUUCUGCAUCAUAUAGCCAUGCAUCUGUUUGGGAACAGCCUGCCUUUUAACUGCAUUGUGCUUCGGCGCUAUGUUUACAGUGAGAUUGAUUUUUAUGUCUUUGAAACAAAGACCUUUAAAAAAACAAACCUUUCUUUUCUUUGAUUUCAGUAUUGAAGAAAAAUGUGUUAGAACCUUCAGAUAUGGUCAGGAGACAUUAAAGUAAGCAAGGAAACCUCUGCCACAGAAAAGAAGCUCUAGCACAGCUCAGUGUGGCCAGCACCUGAGGCGGGAGCUUCAGGAAGUAGUCAGACAUCAUAGGGUAAAUCAUAUAUUACAAGCAGAUGCAGCUAAAGCGUGAUAACAAGCUUGCUCUUACUGCGAGGUGGGCACAGAGCUGCUCACUGGGUCCUUCUAUUUGGCUGUCACAUGUGGAAAGGAUCUCUGCUUACUGUUUAAAUAAGUAGAAGAAAAUUUACAAGCAUUUGAAAAAUAAGUUUGGGCACAAUCUAUAUACAGUCUAUUUAAAUUUCCAAACAAAGGUCAGAUUCUUUGUUUAGAUUUCUGCCAAAUUAUGCUCUAAGCAAACUAAAUUUUUUUAGUUCCUAUGGAAGAUAGGAAUGUAUAUGUGUUGUCUGGCCUUGACCAGAGGGUUGUGCCUGGAUCCAUUGUGUGCCAGUUAUUUAAUUUCUGUGCUUUGUGUAUGAAGCAUGUCCUUGCUUUCCAUAGUACUUGAGAUGUGCUCUCAAUGGAAAAUACAUAGCAAUGCUUGCUUAUGUAAUCUUGGACACUAUAUUUCUCAUACUAUAUUUAUACUGUUACUGCUUUGUGCUACCAAGUACUUAUAUCAAAUUUUGUAUUCUGUAUAGACAGUGCUUUUGUAUUUCCUCCUGAUAGCACAUUUUCUUGUAUUAGUACAAUAAAGCCAAGAUGACAGGAUGACAGAGUAAAGCUCUUAUUAAAAACAUGUUCUAAUUGUUGCAGAGAUAUUAAUGGAAAGCUAGAGCCUACUGCCUCCAGUUAUUUCAAAUUAUGUAUUUUAUAUUUAUAGUUUACAUUUACAUACUAAUUUUAUCUAUUAAGAAUUGCUUUCAAAUUAAAAGAUUUACAUAUGUUUAAACAAAAGCAUGAAAUUACAUUUGAACUCCAUAAAUGAAUUCAUUGUAUCAGCAAACUGAAUGCUUAUUCUACAUUAAGGAAGGCCAGAUUCAUUGAGAAGUUUGACCCUCACGUUUAUAAAUUAGGAUGAAGGAAGGCAGCAAACAAGGAAACAUAUCUAGAGAUCCCAAAUGCUCAGAUUACUAUGAUUAAAAUGUAAAUGUUUGAGCCAAAGUAGAAGGAUUAGGGUUGGAAUUUUAGAAUUAUUUCUUAGCAAGGUUUCCAACAUAAAAAUCGUUCAUUUUUUUUAAGGAGUUAGUGAGUUACACAUUUUAAAUGAUAAGUAAUAUAUUUAUAUAUGUGUGUGUUUUAUCUUGAUGUUAUAAGUGUUCCUUAUAAGAUUUAAGCGUGUGGUAAAAAUAAUUGUAAGUCCUUUCUUGGAGAAUUCAAAACCUUUGUUAUAAAAUGAGCAAUCGGUGUUCUAAGUAGUCUAAGACUGAGAAGUCAUUUCAUCAUUUUGUAUGACUACCUACAAGUGCUUUUGAAAAUCUUUAAUCCAGAUGUUUUUCUCCUUUAAAAUAUUAUACAUCUUUUGAGAAGAACCUGUUUUAGAAGAAAUAAAAAUGUGGCUUCAUCCUUUAUUCUGUUUUGAAAGCCAUCAUUUGUUCUUUAUCAGUAAAUCAUAAGUACCACAAAAAGCACUGUUAAGAUCUACACAUUUAUGGUGAAAUUCUUCUGCAAUACUAGAUACACACUUAUAAAUAUCUGAACAACCGUUUAAAGCAAAGUAUGGGUUGUGCUAGGAUAGUUUGUGUUUUCUAUUCAGACAUGGUCAAUUGGAAAUAACAGCAAAGGUGAUCCGGGCAGUCCCCUGAAACCCUUUCAGUCUGCAUAGAACUGUAACAGCAGAGUGCUGAGCAGAGUUCAGAUGCAGACAUUACUCAUUCUAGCUUCUCUUCAGUCUUUUCAUUAGUUCACAAAGAGAAGUAUACACUACAUGUUUGUGUGGUAGUAACAAAUUUCUGUAACAUUAUAUGGUAUGGGACCUUUUUCAUGGUGUUUGUCUGCUGUGCAUAUAAACUUUCAGUCCUGUACAUUGUGGAUCUGUCUGUUCUUGUGUGUUCAUCAAUAAGGGAUUACCUUAAAUUAAUAAGCAUUUUAGGUAUGCCUAUUGUUUCCUAAGCCUUCUUUGUAGCCCCAUAGGGUUCCUGCUUGGCUUGGCUUAGAACCUCAGUCUUUUUGCUCUCUAUACUGGCCUCUAUACAGCCCUAGCCUCUUUGUUAGACUAGUUAAUCCUUAUGGAGUGAAGUAUGAGGCAAGGGAUUCACUGUGCUGGAUUGGCUUUAAAAAAUAAACAGCAAACACAGCAAGCAGAAUGCAAGCUGCUCCCCAGCCCUUCUCCAACAAGAACAUUUCUGAUGCAAACAGACUGCUCUUCAGCAAGGCAUGAUGGAGUAUAGUACUUAGGUUUUGUUUAGGUACAAUGGCUUUUUUAAAAUGGUUCAAUUUACUACAAAAACGAGCACAAAAUUAUCUAAUAAAAAGAUUUUUAAAACAAAAUACCCAUCAGUUCUUUAAAAGUCAACUCCUAGUGUUUUAAAUAUUUGAUUUGUAGUAAACUUGGUGAAUGAAGGAGAUAUUUUUUAGUCUUUAUGUAUUAAAAGGGACAAGUGGUAGAGAGUUAUUGUUGCCAAGAUCUUUUCCUUUUUAAAACCCAACUAAUCCUAUUGUUUUUGCUCUUUUUCUUUUUCUUUAAAACACUGGGUUAGUUGAUGCUUUCCUCUGCUUUUCUACUGUGGCAUAAGCCUUAGACUACUCUACCAUGAUUGAUCUGUGAGGCCCCCCCCUUCUAUCUCUCUCUCCCUCUCUGUCUCUCACUCUGUGUGUGGCUCUCUCUGUCUCUGUCUGUGUGUGUGUGUGUGUCACUGUGGAAGAGAAACCAAUGCUGAAUUUUUCUAUUUUGUUUUAUAUUGAAUAGUGUAUAAUAAGGAAGAACAUUUAUUACAUUGAUUAACUUAUAAUAGCUAAUUUCUCUGAAGGAAGCUCACCAAAACAUAUCAAAUAUAUCUCACUUAGCAGGGAUAUUAUGUACAAGGUAACGCAACCUUAUUAUAACUUUGUUAUAUAGCCCUAUCAAUUUCUAUUUUCUCACAACUUUUAAAGUGUAAAAUCAGAGAUUCAUUCUUCUACAAAAUGACUUCAUUUUUAAAACAAAAAAAAGUUUAAUGUUUUAGACAACUCAUUUUUAGGUAAAUGAAUUUGUCAGAUUAUACAAACAGUGUAGCUAGUCCUCUCUGCCUAUCCUAAAUAAUAACUACGGUACAGUAAGAGAAUUUUUUCAGUGCUCAUUCUGUCAUUGAGAUACUCUAGCAGAGUGGGUAGCUUUAUUUACGGUUCGAUAUUUUUCCUUCUAUGGUGUUUCAGAAGUAGUAAUUUCUACAGAUUGUAGGUAGGGUAUUUCGCUUGGUAGUGGGGUCCUCACCUACUUUUUGAAAUGUCUUGAAUUCAAACCCAGCACCACAAUAAAUAGUCAAAUGAUUGAAAUAAGCAGGAGCAAGGAUUUGACAUGUAAGCAGUUAAAGUUAUAAUUUAAAACACCAGCAUAAAUUAUUUAUAACUAGUUACUUGGCAGGCAUUUGAUAAACCCAUCAUUCAACAAUUAUUAUUGAAUGCAUAGCAGUGCAGUGGAUGAUGUUAGGAAGUAGAAACCCAGUAUUGCCUUCAAGUCGAUUUAAUAAGGAGUGAGACACACAAUACUUAGAGUGCAAACAGACCGUAUCUUGAUAGAUAUAAGUAUAGGACAGAAUGGGUACACAUAAGAAGGCCUAACUCAGUUUUGGAAGAUUAAUGGUAAGCUGAACAGAGGGAGAAUGUAAAAAGUGUUUUGUGGAAAAUAGCAGGUAUGUGUAGCCCAAAAAUGUACUGGUUUGCUUCAAAAAGUUAGAUGGGUUACUGGCACAUAGGGUAUUUAAAACAAUGGAAAAUAGUUGGAGAUUAGUGUGCAGUCAUAAAUUGACCAAGUUAUAAAGGUCUUUAGAAGCAUGGUCAGAAAAGUUAAGGGUUUCAAGAUGAUAUUUUUGUGGGCUGGCUGGUGUUAAGAUCAGAGUCACAUUUUAGAAAUGAAUUUGGUAGGAGAAUGGAGAACAGCAGAAAGAAGCUGGGCAAGAGAAGCUGAUGGUGUUAGAACAGGUGAAUCACGAUGGAGCUGCUCUUUCCAGUGACUGCUAUUAGAUGAAGCCCAAACUUGGGAAAGGAGAAAUGUCAGCUUAGUUCUCAACAUUUAAUUUGGUGUGCCUGUGGACUGUCGUCUAAUUGUUGAUUCUUAGACAGCAGUGGGAUAUAUGAGCAUAGGACUAAGGCAAGAGGGAAGCUGCUGGCCAGGUGCAGGGAUUUAGAAGUAUGGGUAUAAACGUAACUGAAGUCAUAGAUUCCAGGAGAUUUCACAUAUAUUUUGUUACUCAAUUUAUGUUUGUGGCCACAUGUCAUAGAUGUGGUUAUAUUGUGAACUACUUACUAAACAGAAGAGCACAUUUCAUACACACAUUGCUAUGGCAAUAAAAGAUUAAUAUAGUGAAUCAGCCUGUUACUUGGAACAGAGAAACAACUUGUUACAGUAAACCUUUUGUUCUGAUUCUUUGCUUUUAGUUUAGGAAUAGAAUGAGUAAGCUAGAAGUAAUGGCUCACCCUGUAAUCUUAACACUUGAAAAGCUGUUACAAGAGAAUAGCUAUUGAGUUUGAGGAUAGCCUGGGCUACAUAUAUGAGGUCCAGACUAGCCUGAGCUACACAGCAAACCUGUCUCAAACAAAAGAUUAUACAGUAAUAAUUAGGGAUGGAUAGAGGAACUUUUUCAAGCAUGUAGCUUGCAUAUAUGUGUGUGUGUGUGUGUUUCAAUAUUUUAUAUUACCUUUCAUCUUGAAAAGAGUAUACUUAUUACAUAUGACUUAUUUUGUAAAAUGUAUAGUAUCAUGGGUUGGCCAAAGCAUGCAAAUAAACAUGUUUCAGCCAGGGUUUCAGAGAAACC